GAGCUAGUGUCGCGUAGUGGUUUGAAUGUCAGACUAAGACUCUGGGGACCAGGGUUCAAUUCCCAGCUUGGCCA